GGGAGGCAGCAGUGGGGAAUUUUGCGCAAUGGGGGAAACCCUGACGCAGCAACGCCGCGUGAGUGAUGAAGGCCUUCGGGUCGUAAAGCUCUGUCAGAGGGGAAGAAAUGUGGGGCGGUUAAUACCCGUUUCACUUGACGGUACCCUCAAAGGAAGCACCGGCUAACUCCGUGCCAGCAGCCGCGGUAAUACGGAGGGUGCGAGCGUUGUUCGGAAUUAUUGGGCGUAAAGCGCGUGUAGGCGGUCUUUUAAGUCUGAUGUGAAAGCCCUGGGCUCAACCUGGGAAGUGCAUUGGAAACUGGGAGACUUGAAUACGGGAGAGGGUAGUGGAAUUCCUAGUGUAGGAGUGAAAUCCGUAGAUGUUAGGAGGAACACCGGUGGCGAAGGCGGCUACCUGGACCGAUAUUGACGCUGAGACGCGAAAGCGUGGGGAGCAAACAGGCUUAGAUACCCCAGUAGUCCU
rnacentral:rRNA from 1 species